rnacentral:rRNA from 1 species
AAUAGAUACCCCGGUAGUCCAUGCCGUAAACGUUGGGAACUAGAUGUAGGGCCUGUUCCACGGGUUCUGUGUCGUAGCUAACGCAUUAAGUUCCCCGCCUGGGGAGUACGGCCGCAAGGCUAAAACUCAAAGGAAUUGACGGGGGCCCGCACAAGCGGCGGAGCAUGCGGAUUAAUUCGAUGCAACGCGAAGAACCUUACCAAGGCUUGACAUAUAGCAGAACACCGUAGAGAUACGGGACUCUUUGGACACUGUUAUACAGGUGGUGCAUGGUUGUCGUCAGCUCGUGUCGUGAGAUGUUCGGUUAAGUCCGGCAACGAGCGCAACCCUCGUCCUAUGUUGCCAGCACGUGAUGGUGGGAACUCAUGGGAUACUGCCGUGGUCAACACGGAGGAAGGUGGGGAUGACGUCAAAUCAUCAUGCCCCUUAUGUCUUGGGCUUCACGCAUGCUACAAUGGCCGAUACAAUGGGCUGCGAUACCGCGAGGUGGAGCGAAUCCCAAAAAGUCGGUCUCAGUUCGGAUUGGGGU